CCCUGUUUUAUUCAUCUGUUUAACCUCUUCCUGUCCCAGCUCCCCCCCUUAGCCUAUAAAAGGUGUGAUCAUUUUCUGAAUAAACCAAAGGCUUGAUUGGAUUAUCUCGACUUGCCUUCAUCUCUUUUGUCUCCCCCAUGUCUUUUAUUUAAUCCCCGUUCCCCCUCCAGGAGUUCUAGAUAUGUUGAUCUGCAGGCUGGAUCAACUGGCACCCAGCGUGGGAGCUCCUGGCACAGAGGAGUUAACGAGGAAGCCGUUUGAGAGACAGCCGGCUUAAACUGAAAAUGAAAGCAAAUUGAACAGGAGACCUUGGCCGAGGAGUGAGUAAACUGAAUCAAGGAUUAAAGCUUAAAGCUUCAGGACAUUAAAUUAAGUACCGAGACCUGCACAGAUGACUACCCAACGUCCUGCCCAAGUCAUGGUGACACAUCUCCCUGGAGCCUUAUGCUGCUUAGUCAGCCUUCUUGAGCCACACCACACCCAUGAUGAAUUUUGACCCCUGCCAAACAGACUACAACUGCUGACAGCCAUGUACAGAACCCCAUGACUGUGGAAGAGGCUCCUCUUGGUCUGGAGGAACAUACACCACCCAAAUAGACUGCAUCCAGUGUUAUGCAAGGCAUGCUCCAAGACAUAGGAGAAUGACUUCAUACAGAGACUCCAACAAAUGGCUGUCAACCCCUUCUCCUUGAUUUGGGGGGGGGAGUUUUUCCCUUACCUAGUGCCCCUUUUGGGUCCACUAGCUGCCCUAUUGCUUCUCAUUUCUGUGAAUCCUUGUAUUUUUCAGAGGAUUAUGAUGUUCAUUAAUAACCGGAUAGACGCAUUUAUGGCAAAGCCCAUUCAGGUACACUAUCAUCCAGCUGAUAGUGUACCUGAAUGGGUACACUAUCAUCAGCUGGAGAUGGCAGAUCAACAAACCUACCAGGAAGGAAUUCCCAUAGUGGCCCAUAUGAUGAUGCGGCCUAACUUCCCUGGGGCAAUGGACAGGCAGUCAGAGACGGGCAACUAGGACAUGCAUGUUAAUUCCAAUGGCCACCUAAGACAGGCACAGGACCACCUGCUGUUCUGCAAGCCCAUGACAGGUAAGGCCUGGUUGGGUUCAUGCAAUGAGGUCCUUGACCUAAGACAGAUGCUGUCCUCACAGGGCCUGCCAUACUCUUAAUUAAAUAAUAUAAAAAGGGAGGAGAUGUAGGGAGCUGAGUGACAGGCAUUGCUGCCUCCAUGCCUCUCUCUAUGGGCACUGCGUCUGCCUACAUUAACCAUAAUCCUCUCCUGUUUACGUCAUGUAUCCGGAUGUGACGGUGACCCUGUUGUAUUAAACUGUUUAACCUCUUCCUGUCCCAGCUCCCACCCUUAGCCUAUAAAAGGUGUGAUCAUUUUCUGAAUAAACCAAAGGCUUGAUUGGA